UCAGCAAUUAAUUCACACAUGUGAUUCCAAAGCUGACCAGCAUUUUGCAUGGGACUUAGUGAUGCCUUGUGAAGAAGACUCCUGCUUCCCCUUCACCUCCACCGUGGUUGUAAAUUUCCUGAGGAUUCCCAAGCUAUGAGGAACUAUGAGUCAAUUAAACCUCUUACCUUUAUAAAUUACCCAGUCUCGGGUAGUAUCUUUAUAGCAGAGUGAGAAUGGACAAAUACAGUACCCCACUAUAUUACCUUCUGUUCUAUUUUCUGUAUCAAAUGUCUAGCCAUUCAUACUUGAAAUCUGGGAAUCACCCUGUAGAUGCCCUUCCUCUGGAGGAUAUUCUCUUUUCCUCACUGUUCCUCAUUUCAUUGGUCAGAAAAUAUUGCCACUAAUUGCUACUAUAUUUUCUCAAUUUCUGUUCAUGCUAUUCCUUCCUCUGCAUUUCAUUAUUGCCUACUCCUCCUUUUGCAUCUUCAUGUGGUUAUAUAUAUUAAAUUCAGUCUGACCUAUUUUGAUAUAAGUAAAUAAAAUCUUAAAAUGCUGUAAAUGACACUUUUAGUUCAUGGUACUUAAAAUUCCUUUAUUAUAUCAUGUUCAUUCAGGUUGUCUUGUCUUUACACAUACUGUUAUUUUUUCCCAGAAUAUUUCAAUUUCUGACAUAUCCUCUGAUCCUUGCUAGCAUCUAUCUUUGGGAAAUUUUACUUGUUCUACAAGACUCACAUAAGCAGCAUUUCCUGCAGAAAAAUCUUCCCAUAUGUCUACCAUUGGAUGUGACUAUAUCAUAGGUUCCUUUUUUAUUCACUUAACAACACAUAUCAUUACUUCAGUAAUAUGUUUACCAUAUUCUGAUCUAUUUAUUUAUUUUAGGUUAGUUUAUAAAAGCAGGCAUUGUGUAACAUGUUGGCGUCCUAAGUUAAAGCACUUGAAAAUAUGUUUAAUAAAUACAUGAAAGAAUGAAAUGCAAAAAAUAAAUAAAA
rnacentral:lncRNA from 1 species